UGAUUGUGCAUUUGUGCUCAAACAAAUUUACUCUAAAACAAAUUUAAUAUAUAUAUAAUUAUAUAUAUACCUCAGAAGUCAAGAAAAUCAACUCCACACACUUUAGAUAAACACUAUACCAAUUCAAUAUCAUUCACUGCCAACACUUUAGAAAAUCAACCUGGGUUGUUCAAUGAAAAAUUCAAUCAACCUGUGCAGUACUUAAGGUGGUCUUAUUCAACCGAAUACCAACUUCAGCUAUAGCACUUAAAUAGCUUAACUGCUUCUCUCUGUGAGCAGGUAUAUAGUAUCCUAAUUCGCUCAAAUGAAAUAGGUUGGUAUGCAACACAUUAUUCUUUUCAAAUGAUUUCCAAAUUUCAUAAUCCACAUUCAUUAAAAAUUUACUGCAUAAAUCUCUGAAUCCAGGUAAACAUUCUCGAAAUUUUACUACAAAUUAUCAAGUUGAUGAUUUAGGAGAAAAAGAUGAUUUGCAGAGAAGAAGAUAAAGUAGCCAUGAAAAAAUGAGAUCUAGGGUUGGGAAUUGGGAUUAAUCAAAUAGUGGGAUUUGCUUUGUUGUUGUUAUUAGAUCUAAUAAAGAAGAAGAAGAACAGAUUUGUUGUUGUUGUUG
rnacentral:lncRNA from 1 species